UGGGUGAGUAACGCGUAGGAACCUGUCGCACAGUGGGGGAUAACGCUGGGAAACCGGCGCUAAUACCGCAUGUGGUCAGAGAUGAAGAAAGCAGCAAUGCGCUGUGUGAGGGGCCUGCGUCCGAUUAGCUGGUUGGUGGGGUAAGGGCCUACCAAGGCGACGAUCGGUAGCUGGUCUGAGAGGAUGGUCAGCCACACUGGGACUGAGACACGGCCCAG
rnacentral:rRNA from 1 species